rfam:Gossypium hirsutum cultivar TM-1 unplaced genomic scaffold scaffold1092.1, whole genome shotgun sequence
GCCUUGGUAGUGAAAUACUAGACACGUGAGAUUCAUAAUCUCGAGUGUGGAAGUUCGAGUCCUCUUCAAGGCA